GUUGAAAUCGGAGCCAGCCGCUCGGUGGCCUUUGCUGACAGGGAGCGGAUUGCGCUGGGGAGAAAGACGGCUCACAUUCCUCCGAUUGCCUGGCUCCCUGGCCACGCUGCGCCACAACAAAGGCCGGGCAAAGCGCCCGGGAUAAAGAAGGGAAACACAGGAAAGGGAGCCAAGUGGAGGCGAGCAACGGAGCCAAGGAGGACAAAGUGUUUUCCCUCUAGGAAACCAGCUCGUCUUCCCCUUGGGGGCUUCGCACCUGGAGACAGAGAGAUUAAAGAGAAAGUGUUUCUCCUCACUGGGUCACGUUCUGCCAGCUGGAGGGUUUUGUGAAACCUGAAAGCUUAUACCCCUUAAUAGAACUUAAUUCAUUGCCAGUAUUUGGACGGAAGACCUCCAGGGAAUACCAGGUUUGUAACAUGGAGGCAGGAAAUGGCCAACCACCUCUGAACAUCUCAUAGUUGAAUGCACCACCAGGGGUCGCCAAAAGUCAACUACAGGAAAGGAAGGAAGGAAGGAAGGAAGGAAGGAAGGAAGGAAGGAAGGAAGGAAGGAAGGAAGGAAGGAAGGAAGGAAGGAAGGAAGGAAGGAAGGAAGGAAGGAAGGAAGGAACGCUGCAUGACUGACUUGGGGACUCAGGUCAAAGGUCGUUGGAAGGUCUGUUUUCCCAUCCAAAUUACCAAGAAGACAGGAAACAUACAAAGAAAAUUGCUUCAACUAA